AGUGGCAGAGUGAGGGAGGGAAGGGGUGACUAGUGACAGAGUAAGGGGAUGACUGGUGACAGAGUGAGGGGGGGGGUGACUGUCACUAGUCACCCCAUCCCUCUCUCUGUCACUAGUUACUCCCUCCCUAACUCUGUCACUGUGUCACCCGCUCCCUCCCUCUGUCACUAGUCACCCCCUCCCUCACUCUGUCACUAAUCACCCCCUCCCUCCCUAGUCACCCCCUUCCUCACUCUGUCACU